rnacentral:piRNA from 1 species
UCUCCUCCUUCUGCAACCAAUAACUGC